AUGGAACACUUUGAAAGUCCUGUGGAGGAGAACAAUGAAGUUCCUACUAGGAGCAAGAGACAGAGGACUGCAAAGUCCUUUGGUGAUGAUUUUCUUGUGUAUCUCAUAGAUGACACUCCCAGUUCUAUUUCAGAGGCCUAUGCAUCUGAAGAUGCUGACUACUGGAAGGAAGCAGUUCGUAGCGAGAUGGAUUCCAUCUUGGCAAAUGAAACUUGGGAGAUAACUGAUCGUCCUUAUGGGUGCAAACCUAUAGGAUGCAAAUGGGUAUUCAAGAAGAAGCUUAGGCCUAAUGGUACUAUUGAAAAGUACAAGGCUCGGCUCGUGGCUAAGGGUUAUACCCAAAAGGAAGGUGAAUACUUCUUUGAUACUUACUCACCUGUGGCUCGACUGACCACUAUUCGAGUUCUACUUUCACUAGCUGCCUCGCAUGGUGUUCUCGUUCAUCAAAUGGAUGUUAAGACUGCUUUCCUAAAUGGAGAAUUGGACGAGGAAAUUUAUAUGGAACAACCAGAUGGGUUUGUACUAGAUGGUCAGGAAAGAAAAGUGUGCAAGUUGCUGAAGUCUUGUAUGGACUCAAGCAAGCACCCAAACAGUGGCAUGAGAAGUUUGAAAGAACUUUAA
rnacentral:rRNA from 1 species